GUGCUUGCUUCGGCAGCACAUGUACUAAAAUUAGAAUGAUACAGAGAAGAUUAGCAUGCCGCUGCACAAGGAUGACACACAAAUUUGUGAAGCAUUCUGUUUUUCA
ensembl:snRNA U6 U6 spliceosomal RNA